rnacentral:tRNA from 1 species
GGGAGUAUCCUAGAGGUAGAGUUUGUGCUUAUCAAGCACAAGGCCCUAGGUUCAAUCCCCAGCGCUACA